rnacentral:lncRNA from 1 species
CCUGCCUUUAUUUUUUUUUUUUUUUACAAAAAUUGUCAUCCUGUCUAUUUUUUACUCAAAAGCUCCUGUCCUGCCUUUUUUCAAAUUUCAUCCUAGCCUCCCCAUAAAAAUGGUAGCUGACUUAGUUUUCUCUUGCGACUGUUUUUAAACGUUUUUCAAUUGAUUUUUUACAAUUUUUUCUUAUAUAUUGUAACACCACUGUCCCAGGUUAGUAUGACUGAGAACUCACAAACAUAAACCCAAUCCCUUAAUUU